ensembl:snRNA U6 U6 spliceosomal RNA
AUUGAAGAAAGCAUCAGAAUACGUGGGUUUAAGAAUGAGUCUGAGAAGAUUAGCAUGGCCCCUGUGCAACGAUGAUAUGCAAAUUUGUGAAGUGUUCCAUAUAUAU